ensembl:lncRNA TEX41 testis expressed 41
GGCCUCCAUCUUGAAAACGGAAAAUAAAAACAGCAGACCUAUGAAGGUCGAAGGGGAAGAAAAGCUGUAUCGAUUGUUGAGAUCUGGCGACUUGUUUAAAUUUCAUCAGCCUCACUUCUAUGAACUCUCAGAGCUGAUUACCAACUCCUACCACUGUUAACCCUCAUCCAGGAACAAGCUUAUGUCUUUAACAUUCUGAGUGGGCUUCAGCAUCCUUGCAUAUGUUCAAUUCUUAAAAACCUGUUGAAAUAAAAGAUCAGGAGACAUAGGAAGGAUGCCAGAAGAGAGCGUGGCCUCACGUGUACCAGCUCUCUGCUCUCCUUUGCCUUGGGACGUUCCAUCCCUGGAAGUUUCCCUGCCCACAUCUUUGUAGAGAGUCCAUUCUCCAAGCUUCAGUGUGUCAUCUGUGAGGACCGUGACCCACCUGGUACAUCGCCUCAGGGCAUUCAUUUCAGGCUCCUUCUAAAUGGCCAAGGCCAUGAGAGAAGCAGUACCUUAUAAUGGUUCCUUGUUCAAAGCACUCAAUAUUCCUAGGAUGUGGUCUCCCAGCUGACUUCAUAACUGAAUCAUCAGUAAUUAAUUUCAUUGUUCUAUUAGGACUUUACUGAAGACUCUAAGGAGGACCUGUAUCUGUUGGGAUCCUCAGGGCAAGCCACAGAAACAAGCUUUGGAUACUAGAAGCAGAAAAUGGAGAUAUUGAAGACUAUUGUGGAGUUUACUGUGAGCCAGAGAACCAGGCUGGGGGGCUGUAUCACUUAGAAUGAGAUCCAAACUCACACCAUAGUUCCAUCCUUGAGGUUGCCAUGUUGCUGCCACCCCUCCUGCCACCCCACCACUGAAGCUUUGGAUGCUGGAUUCUGGGCACAGCAGGGAGAAGUGUUGCUUAUUACCAUUUUAGUAUGUUUUCUUUCAAGACCUUUUCAAAAUAUACAUACGUAUUUUUAUUUCUAUUCAAAAUGGGAUACAUUUUUGAAGGUUAGCAAUAUAUUGUGAACAUUUUCUUUCCAUGCUCAGAAACAUUUUUCUAUAAUGUAAUUUAUAGUGAUAUAAACUAUCUCAUAGACCUACCAUAGUUUACCUAACAAAUCCCAAAUCAUUUGUGCCAUUUCUAAAUUUUUAUUAUUUUAUGUAAUGCUUUAAUGAACAUCCUUGCAUUUAUAUUUUAUACAAUUUUAGAAGUGGAAUUACUGGUUCAAAAUACAUGGUGAUUUUUAAUUCUUCUGUUGAAUAUUGACAAAUUGCAAUCCUGAGAGUUAUCUUGAAGGAUAGAGUACAUGCCCAGGGUUCUUUUUUAAGAAAUAAUUUGUAAUGUGAAACAGAAUAGGCUAAAUGUUUUUUAUUCUCUUAGUCCUACUCUGUCAUUCUGCAGAGUUUCACUUAUUUGGAUUCAAAUUCUAAUUCCAGCCUACCUCUCUUUUUAUAUAAUUGUUAGGAGGAUUAAAUUAGAUGCAUAAAAUUGCUGCUUACUACAUACAUUGCACAAACUAAAAACUUUUCAAAGGUUAACUGUUUUUCUGGUUUAUUUUUAAGACACAGGUUCUUGCUCUGUUGCCCAGGCUGGAGUGCAGUGGUGUGAUCACGGCUCACUAUAGCCUCAUCCUGCUGCACUGAAGUGAUCCUCUUGCCUCAGCCUCCUGAGUAGCUAGGACUACAGGCACGUGCCACCAUACCCAGCUAUUUUUUUAAAAAUACAUUUUUGUUGAGGCUGGGUCCCCUUUGUUGUCCAGGCUGGUCUUAAGCUCCUGGCCUCAAGCAAUCCUUCCACUUCUACCUCCCAAAGUGUUGAGAUUAGAGGUGUGAGCCACUCCACCUGACCCAAAGGUUAACUAUUAUUAUUGUUAUUAUUAGUCUGUUUUUUUCCAUUCAUUUCCUCAUUAGUCAACUUUUAUUGUUUCAAUGUUAUUUUAUUGUUUUUCAAAGACUCCUUAUAGUCACAAUAUGUACAUAAUAAAUUUUACCCUUUAAGGACACUGAGGUUCCAAAUGAAAAUGAUAUUUUUAAGGUGAAACAAUUAUAGAUAGAAAAACAACUUUUUUUUCUGUGAGUACUAGAUUUCAUAUUAUCCUUAAUGUCUUUCUAGGUAGUAACCAAGUGAUUUCUCAUAAACUGGAAAACAUUAUUCCCACUGAUAUUCUUAAAAACAUUUAGGAUUAAAAAAUGUAUUUUAAA